GUUAUGGCUCAGCGGUAGAGCGCUCGCCUCACACGUGCAAGGCCCUGGGUUCUAUCCUCAGCAUCACA
rnacentral:tRNA from 1 species